AAACGAUGAUAACUCGAUGUUGGCGAUACACAGUCAGCGUCCCAGCGAAAGCGUUAAGUUAUCCACCUGGGGAGUACGCCCGCAAGGGUGAAACUCAAAGGAAUUGACGGGGGCCCGCACAAGCGGAGGAGCAUGUGGUUUAAUUCGAUGAUACGCGAGGAACCUUACCCGGGCUUGAAAGUUAGUGACGGAUGCAGAGACGCAUCCUUCCUUCGGGACACGAAACUAGGUGCUGCAUGGCUGUCGUCAG
rnacentral:rRNA from 1 species